rnacentral:rRNA from 1 species
UACGUAGGGGGCGAGCGUUGUCCGGAAUCAUUGGGCGUAAAGCGCGUGUAGGCGGCUUGAUAAGUCUGGUGUGAAAUCUUGGGGCUCAACCCCAAGCCUGCACUGGAUACUGUCAAGCUUGAGUCCGGGAGGGGAGAGCGGAAUUCCUAGUGUAGCGGUGAAAUGCGCAGAUAUUAGGAAGAACACCGGUGGCGAAGGCGGCUCUCUGGAACGGUACUGACGCUGAGGAGCGAAAGCCAGGGGAGCAAACGGG